UACGUAGGGUGCGAGCGUUGUCCGGAAUUAUUGGGCGUAAAGAGCUCGUAGGCGGUUUGUCACGUCUGCUGUGAAAUCCCGAGGCUCAACCUCGGGCCUGCAGUGGGUACGGGCAGACUGGAGUGCGGUAGGGGAGAACGGAAUUCCUGGUGUAGCGGUGAAAUGCGCAGAUAUCAGGAGGAACACCGGUGGCGAAGGCGGAUCUCUGGGCCAUUACUGACGCUGAGGAGCGAAAGCGUGGGGAGCGAACAGG
rnacentral:rRNA from 1 species